AUUUGGCGGCUUGGAUAAUCUACAAGCUGAAUGGAAAGGAUGGACCCGAACCCUUCCCCAUUAUACACUAAGAUUUGUCUUUUCCUUUUGUAAUAAUGAAUCUUUAUUAGCAUUUUGAGUAUUUUCCCUUCAAUUUGUUCUAUCAAUGACUUAUAUGGAAUGUUACAAAAUAUUUUCUGAUGGAUCAAUGUGAAUUGCAUAUGUAUAUU
rnacentral:lncRNA from 1 species